AGGGUCAUAGCUCAGUGGUAGAGCAUCUGCUUUGCAUGCAGAAAGUCCUAGGUCUGUGUUAUGUAUGCCGGUGUGGUUGCUCGAGAGCGAACAGGCAAGACCCCUACUGGACUUUU